UUACCCUUAUCAUUUUAAAAGACUUAUUGUUUUAGCUUUUAUUCACUCUGGUUUUAUUCUUUGCUCACUGUUCUUUUCUAGCUGUUGUCAUAUAUAAGAGUCCCAGAUUUAUAGUAAUCCUACUAUGAAUUCAGUGAUACCUUCUUUACCUUGAGUUAAAGCAAAUGUGCCCAUCAAAAGAGCAAAGUGUCCAAUGAUAAUAGCUGGAAAUUGAGUCACAAAUAAAUGGAAAAUGGUUUCUUCAUUGCUAUUUGUGUGUAUGUGCUGUGUGCUGCUUUUUUCUCCAAAGGAGUAGACUGUUAUUCCACGUUAUGGAGUUGUGCUAUUGUGAAAUUCUCCAGUGAUGGAAAAGGAGAAUAAUGUCUACUAAACCUGCUAGAAUAUGAGGCAAGGGGAUCUUUUUCUGUGCCCAAGUCAGAAAACUGUUUCCCUUCUCCUAUUUUAGAGCAAUGUGUUUUAUAUCACAGAGUAACUUACUGUCUUCUCAAAUGUUUAUCUCCAAAUUACAUUUUAUAUUCUAGUCACUCACAAGAUGAAAACAGGAAAUGUAUUUGAGGAAAGGCAAAAUGUCAGCGUGUCUAGAACAUAGAAAUACUUGGUGAAGAACUUUUGGCUUUCUUUUUGGCUCUGCCUACAGCCAGUCAGUGUCACUCACUGUGUUCAGGUCUCUCAUUAGUCAAACAGGGUGGCUGGGCAUUUCCUGUGAAAUUGCCAGUGUGAGAUUGUGACCCUCAGGGGAGAGAUCCAGGAGGAGAAGGAACCAGACAGCUGGCCUCUGGGAGCCACCAGAUGGGAGCAAAUUCCCAAGGCCGAUGUGAAGAACUGUCUAGAAUGACACAGUUGUUUAGUGGAGGAGCCCUCCCUCUAAAGCCAAAUGUUCUGUGUGUCCCUGCAAGCAGAGCAAAUGAGUACACACUGUGUUCAUGUUGAAAAGGACAAAUGACUGUACAAAUAGAGUAAUAAACAAUUUAAGAAAAUAUAUGUAGCCUAAAUUUAGUAUCAAGGCAGUAGGCAAAAUGACUUACUCCAAUUUGUGAUGGUCCUGUUGCAAAAGCAGUGGCAAAGCCAGUUAGACCCUAAUCAUGGAAUAUAGCCAACGUAUCAGUGGAGAUGGCGCAAGUGCAGGCUUUUCAAAUAAGAUAAAUCAUCUGUGAAGAAGGAAAAGGUCAAUGUAAUAUUCUUUCCCUGUCUCUCUGUCUCUCUCUCUCAUCUGAAUUAAAUGGAAACAUUAAAAUUCCUUCCAAGACAAGAAAAAUCAGCACAUAAGAUAAUGCAGUCUCCUUCCUACCCAGCCAAGUCUGACUGCAUUCCACCUGAGCCUUGCCUUGGUCUUUUUUAUUUUCAUCCUAGAAUAAUUUGGCUACUUUGUAGAAAAUCAGAAGUCUAAUGCUAACCUCACACCAUUUAGUCAUGCAUACCUGAGCCAUUAUCUUCUGCCCCGGAUGACAUAGAAGAUUGGUUUUUCCAUCUUUCAGAUCGAACAUGGUGAGUGCACACACCACACACAUACACACAUACUCAUACUCUUUUCUCACAGUUGAGGUUACGUAUAUGCUAUCUGUGAGCAUCCUUCAAUCAUUCAGUAUCUGUGGAACACCUAAUAAUUUUGUAUCACAUUGCUUGGUGUGUGUAGGAUACAGACAAGAAGAGGAAAGGGAAAAGACCCUAAGUGGAGUGGUUGAGAGGAGACAUGCUUUCAGUUUCCAUGCAGUAUGUAUUUCUUAACUUUGACCUAUACUUUAUUCUUACAUUUAUUUUGGUUUAGCAUCUAUUCAUUCAUUUAUACAGGGGUGUAUUUUCCAUGAAUAUUUUGGAAUGCCUCCUAUGUGCCAGGCAUUGUGAUAGAUUACAGAGGUGUGGAAACAAAUUAGAAUCCUUCUCUCCAGGAGCUUUCAAUGUUUAUAUUUAUUUGCAAUAAAGGUUUAAAGAUACUAGCAUUUGCCUGCCUAGGGUGUAGUUGGAUCACAAAAGAAGGAACAUCGUUUCUGUUGCUAAGGGUUGAGAUUUGCAUUACUGAAAAGAGAUCAUUAAACAGUUUUGAAAGAUGAGUAAGUACCAUAUUUGUCAGGGAGGCAAGAAUGGGGGGCAUUUUAGGGAAACACAGAAGAUGCAUAGAAAGCCAUGGAGAUUUUAGGGAACUUCUAUAAUGUAGUGGAGGGAUGGAUCUUUUAAAAGAGUCCAGGCUGGAGAAGUACAAAGUACUAGAUCAUGGAGACCCUUGCAUACCAUUGUGAAGAAUUGGGACUUUAACCUGUGCACAUCAAGAAACCAUGAACAGAAUUUGUACCAUAGCAAAGAUUUAUUUCUGACAGAAAUGUGGAAAACAUGAAUUAAGAUAGGGAUCUCAAUUGCUUGGCUGUUUUGAGGGUGUGAUCCAUAGAUAAAAGACAAAGACAAAACUCAAACCAGGAGAAUAGACCAUAAAAAGAAUGCCAACCUAUUAUAUUCAGCAACUUAUGGUUUAGUCAACAUUUAAGAAAAAACAGACCUACAAUAUUAAUAAAAUAAGGUGUUAGACACUCAUCCCUUAAAUUUCAUGUAUAAGAGGAAUGCUUUAUUUUAUUAAGUAAAUUAAUUUCUGAUUUAAAAAUUCAUACUAAUUACAAAUUGCAAAUCAUUCAAGGAAUCAUGAUCCUUUCUCAGUCUCUUUACAUUGCAAAAUUUAGAGAGUGACCACACAUAUAGAGGAUGUCAGGGCUCCAGAGGAUUUCAGAGACUAUCUUCAUCAGUGAUUUUUAAGAUAAAAUCAUUGUCCAUGUCUUCUAGCAGAAGCUUCCCUGGGAGCCCCAAUAUGCACGGAAGUGUUAGAGGUGGACACAGGCUAUGCCCUCUGCCAACAUUCCUCAUUAUUCUGCCCAGCUCUGAAUUACACUGGCACAAUUAUAAAACUUAGCUUGGCAGACCUUCUUAUUUCACUGGGGGCACAAAGGAUAACAGAAUGGGAGAGACUGAAUCACCCAAGGAGGCAUGACUAACUGGUUAGUUAAUGGUAGAAGAAAGGAUUCCAGGUCAUCCUGAUUUUUUUAAUCAAUUUUGAUUAAUGACUUACGGUUACUAUCAUUAAGGAUUUGUUUUCUCUCCUCUUUUUAUUCUAAAUGAACAUGCAGCGAGUUGACUGGAAGGAGUGAGCUCAGUUACACCCAAUGCCUCCAUUUUUUCUCAUUGAUUAAUCCUUUCAUUUCAGUUGUGGGAACCUCAAGACUAUGGGUUCAUAACCUCUUCCACUAAUCAUUUUCUGACCAUAUUUUCCCUACCCAUCUCUGCUUUCUGUACUUUUAUCCUAACACAUAUUACUCUAAGUAAUCAUUGCUAGUUUGUUGUUUUUCCUCACUAGACUGAGUGCUUUAGGCCAGGAAACAUGUCUUUUUAUCCAUAGCAUCUGGCACAAUCCAUGAUAUGCAGUAAAACAAUAUAAAAUUGUUUAAUAAAUAAUCAGAUAAAGAUAUGCCUCUAACUUUGGCAUUGGGAUAACAUAAAUGGGGGAAUUUACCUUUUGUGCUUGUCCCCUGCUUUGUCAGGAACACUUUUACCAUCUACUAGUGGACCUGCUUCUACCUUAGGUGACAGUCUUACCAAACCAUGGAUUUCAAAGGAUAUCCCAGACACUGUGAAAUGACUUCAAGACACAAAAUUAUCUGUCCUGAAAUAAUCUACUAUAAACCAUUAUUAGCACAGAGAUUGAGCAAAGUAUAAAGUCUUUUUUUCCCCCUAGAUCAGCAUUCAGAAUUAGGGUUUGGACAUAGUAGGACACCUGUGUUCUCACAGCUGUUAAAAAGAAGAAAAACUUUCAUAUUGAAUUUCAUUGAACCUUGCAGCCAGCCUCAGUUCCAUUAAUUUUCAUAUACAGGAACAAUGUAACAUGAUUACUCACCAGCCACAGAGAUAGUGGUUUUAUAAAUCUUAUGUGGUAGUUGCUGAAAGAGAUAGGGUUGUGCUCCCAUUGUCAAUACUAUCCAAAAUUCACCUUGGAAAUGAGUGGCUUUGGCUUUUGAUACCAGCUGAAUGUAUAUUGGGUCACUAGAUGUCACUUGGAUUAACAUUUCUCUAAUUUUCAGAUCAUCUGAUGAGAAAGCAGUAAGUUUUCCUCACUCUGGUGGUAGCCUGCCUCUUUCCUAGAGAUGGCUCUUUUAAUAAGGGAAGUUGGCCUCACUCUGUUAUUUAUGGAAGUGCACCCAUGCCUGGUGCUUUCUGAUGGCUUGGUUGCUUAAUCCUGUUUGAUUUAGUCCUAUAGUGUUUGGGAGAGGUCAUGGACAGUAGCUUCAUUGAUGUGAGUCACAUUCAAAUUGCUAACAACCUGAUUAUGUAUAUGACAUUAAUGAAGGAAAACCUUUUAUUCCUGACCUCUAGUCACUCUUCCUCUUCAGUGUCUAUUGAUGAUGCUGUGAUCUUCAUAGUUUAAAUUAUCAUUAAUAAAAGGAAACUCAUACUGUUACUGGUAUGUGUGUGAAUAGCCUAUGGGGGAUUGGUUCUGGUUUUAGUUUUAUACUUUUUUUUUUUUUUAGAUAGGGUCUUGCUAAUUUGCUAAGGCUAACCUUAAACUUGUGAUCCUCCUGACUCUGUCUCCCAAGUCAUUGGGAAUACAGGUAGGUGGCACCAGUUCCAGAUCAGUUUUAUACUUUUGUAGGUCACCAUUAAUGUAGUGGAUAUACUCUUUUGUUGAGUAUCCAACUCUAGGGCUUCAUUUACAGAAAUGGGCUUCAUUUACAGGAAACGUUGGCAACAGUAAAGAGUAUUAUGUAUAUUAACUCAUUUAAUGCUCCCAACUAACCUGGACUACUUGAGAGAUUAAGUAACUUGCUUGACGUUACAGACUUGGGAAAUAGAAACCCAGAUCCUAAUCCAGCUGGCCUGGCUUCCAGUCUUGAGCUAUGCUCCAUGAUAGCAUGCUGACCAUGGGUGGAACGAGAACAGGGUCCUCUGCGGGUUCCGAUGAUUCUCUUUUAAAACUGUCUCAUCUCAGAAGUUAGCAUCUUAGUCAGCAGGCUUAUUACCCCAGAAGGUCCUGUGACUCUGCCUUGCACUCUGUAGGCAGCUGUCUGGUGUCUUUCUUGGCUUCUGGAGGUGGCAAGUUCCUCUCCUCAUCAGCCACCUCUAAGAGGUAGGGAUGAUGGCAGGAUUUUCCUGCGAAAGAGAAACUCCACAAGGAGGAGAUGGUUGUAUUAUGCUCAGUCUAACACAACUAAAAGACACCAAGGGAGCUCCUGAACCCGAUUGCCCAACAUGAUCUUACUUUAGUUUCAUUAUCAAUGUUUUUCUGCUGUUCCUUUGAGUUUCAGCUUAUCCAUCUGUGAAUGGAGAUAAGAAAAUCUACCUCCAAAAGGUCAUUAUAAGAAUUAAAUGAUAUCAAAUUUUAAAAGUACUUCUGUAGAAUCUGGCACAUUCCAAGGGUUUGAUGAAUGUAUUUUUUCCUUUGCCUUAUCCAAAGGAGUUUCUGAAAAGAAAAUUGAGAGUGAGUUUUGGGGAUUUUUUUUAAAAAAACAGGUUAAAAAGGCCAAGGCUUCUGUGGAUUCUCUCCUCACCUGUCUCUCCUUAGAAGUCUUUUCAUUUGAGAACUGCUUGUUUUUUUAUGGUUGCAUAAAUGUAUUAAAUUUCUGGUAUGUUAGGUGUAAUUCUAUCAGUAGUCUCCAGGUUCAAACCCUUUUAGGAAAAUCCUUCCAUAAAGAGGUUGUUCUUCUUUUUAAGUAUAUUAUUUAUUAACUUACUUCUCCUGAUAUAGUAAAAUGGAUCCUCUCUACAUAUUACACCACUUUCAACUGAGGGUGUCCUAGCUGUCAUCAUUAUGGUUCAGUUCAUCCCAUUUGGGACUCCAGUAAUCCAUUAAAUGUUUAUUAAUUUUGGAAUUUUAAGAAUAGGCUUUUGCAAGUGGUUGCAGUCUGGUUUUGAAGCAAGGAGAAAAUGCUCUAUUUGUUAGCCCCUGGUUAGCAGAGGUGAAUAAAGACCAUAGACCUAAAAGACUGUGUGUUUUUUUUUUAAAUUCUUUUGUCAGGAAAGUCACUUUGCUCCUAAUUAGAAGAUUAGAAUCUCUUUAAUUGCAUUCUGACCAGAGACUUUGGGGGUUCAAUUUGGGAACUUGCCAUAUGUUUCAUUUGAAUGAAUGCAUUUGAGAUGAACAUUGUCUUACUGAAGCUGCUAUUCAUGAAGCCCAAAAGACAGACUUUAGUAUAGGUUUUAUUUCCUUAUUUGAAUGUCAAACUACUGUUCUCAGAAUGGAUUUUUAUAUGCAACAAUAUGCACUUAAUUUAUUAUGUAUUUAUAAGACCUCACUAUAUCAUGCUGUCUGUAGAGCAGAAUUCAAAAUAAGGCAGUGCAAUCUUGGAUCUCAUGCCAAAGAGUCUGUUUCUUGAUGAAUUAAAAAAGCUUUGUAAUAUAGGUGGCCCUCCAUAUCAGCAGGUUCUGUAUCCACAGAUUCUGUCAACUGUGUAUCAAAGUUGUUUUUAAACACUGAUCUGUACGAACAUAUAUAGACCUUUUCCUUGUCAUUAUCCCCAAACAAUAGAGUACCAUAACUAUUUACACAUCAGUUACAUUGUAUUAUAUUCUAUAAGUAAUCUAGAGAUGAUUAGAGAUGAUUUAAAGUAUAUGAGAGGAUGUGUAUGAGUCACAUGAAAAUACCACACCGUUUUAUUGAAGGGACAUGAAUAUCUGUGGGUUAGGGUAUCCACAGAGAUCCCUGGAACUAAUCCCCAGCGGAUAUCAAGUAAGAAACGUACAGUUUUGAUAUCCAUGGCAUAAAGUCCUCAUGGCAGGAUUUAAGUGUGAGCUUAAUCCAAGCAGGUCAAGCAGGGUGAAUAAUUCUCCAAUCAAGAGUAUUAAAAUUACUGCUGAUAAUCAAGCCUUUUCACAAAUAUUCAUUCUUCUCUCUUAGGUAUAGGCAGGAAGUUCUGAGUGUAAGUAAACUCUAAAUUUACUUUAUAACUUUGUUUUAGUAUACAUAAUAUAAAGUAAGCAGAAGAACUCAGGAGGAUGCUAUCUGGUUCCUUGGGUGUUAUAAAUCCUGAGAUUUAAUUGACAAAAUGAUGAAUUUCUAUUAUGCCUGCAUUCAGCCUUGAGGGCCUAAAGGCAAUAUGAGGCAGUUCAUUACUAGCACUAUUCUCUGUUUUACAUUUUUGUUCAUUACCAGCAACUUCCUUAAUAUUUAUAGUUAUAUAAUGUUGUGCUAGUAGAUGUUUAUUCUCAACAUCUCUGACUUCAGUAUCCAACAAACAUUUGUUAAAGUCUAAUGUGUGCAAAUCAUGCUAUGUAUUUCUUAAGUUCCCAAAAGAACCUAGAUUGAAGUUUGGGACUAGGAGCUUGCACGAUAUUAACAGUCUCUGUUUGCAGCUCCUCAAUGGAGUUGUAAGGUAGGAUAGAAAGUAUGCUAAGGGGGACUCAUAGCAUGCUGUAAGAAUUUCAAUGAAAUCAACUUGUGUCUUGUCUUAUAUUCCAUCUGAAUUGCCUUUCUCUACAAAUUAAUAAGCACAGGACUGUGAAAACCCAACAACAGUAGUGUUUUACCAGUUGGAAAAAUGAUGAAUAAUAAACGUUGCACAUUGGAAUCAGUGAGAUUGAAGAAGUUCCAUUGUGUCUUUUUUCAGAGAAUUUAUAUCAUCUAGCUUCCUGUUCAAUCUCAGGCACUGUAGAUGGAUAGACGGUACAUAUCUGAAGAAGUUCACAAGUAUUUACUGAAUGAAAAAACUCAUCACUCAUUAUUCUCUACAUGAAUCCUGAAGCACUUAGGGAAUCCGAAGUUUGGGAAGGUUCUGAGCAAUCCCAUUACAGGUCUCCCUUUUAUGUACCAUUGUAAAUAUAAAUAAGUUUACUCAUUCUUAAUAAUUUUUAUUGGUUUUCUGUGAUCUCUCUAGCUUUUCAAGGUAACUUUUUAAACUUAUGCUAGCCAACAUAUGAAAUACCCUUUCCAACUGUGAGAUACAUUAUAUUUUCCAAGUUUAUCCAAGACCUUGGAAAGACAUUAAAACAAGAGAGCCACAAACAGAACUUCUCUAUCCCACACUGAAACUCUCCUACUAAACAACAUACUUUCCUUCAUUCUACAAGUAUUUCCUGGGCAAGGAUUCAUCUUUAGGGUGUUAGGAGGAAUUAUUCAAAGUGCAAGGCAUUAGUUAUCUAGUGAUGAAUACAAUAGAUUCAACCCCUGUUCAUACAGGGCAUAAGGUCUACACCUAAGAGGAAGCAUUUGUUCAAACAGCUAAAAAAGCUCACUUCUCUCCUUUUCAGCAAUGAAAAGAAUGACUUCCCUGAAUAUCUCCUAUCUUUUUCUGCCAGUCUUUUCUCAUGCUGCUCUCAGAGUAAACUCCUUUUUAUCAUUUUUCUGGCUCUCAUAACCUUAGGCAUUCAAAAGAGGCCACGUAAAUGUUACCAGCUCCAAAAAUCCCAUCCACACCUGUGAGAUCUUUUAACAUGUGGCACCACUUAAGUUGUGCUCAUCACUCACUGAUUUCUACUGUCAUUUUUUGAAAACUUCUCAUAUAAACUCACACUCCCCUUUCCAACACAAUGAUGCCUUUGAUAUUAUUGUAUCCAAACUAAGCACAGUGACUAUAUUUCAGGGAGAGUGAAUCUAGACCCCUUUUAUUCUAGAAGAAUAAAGAUGUUUAGUAAGAGUGCAUAUGGGUCUCAUUCACCAAUAAUCAUUCAAGGUCAGAGAAAUCUCAGAUUGACACUAGGUCUCCUAACUAUUCUAAUUCUGGAUGCAGAAAACCUCCAGAAGCUUUUUUUUUCCUUGAAGAUUCAACUCAUAGACCAUUUGAAGCUUUGGACAUACAAUAAGGCACAAAGAAAUAUUUUCAUGAUAAAAGUAAAUGGGGAUGGGUCUGGGGUUCAUGAAUUGGUCAGAUCCGAAUAACAAAUUACUAGGUGUUUCUUAUCUGUUUACAUGCUCCGUGAUUUCUAACAGUAUGAAAAAUUGCAUUUCAGAGUCCUAGAUAUUGAUUAGGCAUUUAAAGAGUACAAAGUUCAAAGAUGCAAUAACUAGAUGAUUGCUUCUAAAAUCCAACAGGGUUUUUUGGAUGACACAAGAGUGCUUAAUCAUGUUUUUUUUUUCCUCUUUAAGGACAAAGCCAUGUGGUUGGUCAAUAUUUUCAUUCCCUAAGGACCCAUGGAAUUAUGAUAGUUUAUCUUCAUAGUCACCCAGGCUCAUAUUGGCAUGGAUCAGGUAAUGCAGUUCACAUAGCAAAUAGGCCUCCUUUGUUAGAUACAGGGGUGGAAUCUGACGACUGAACACGUUUUUCUUUUAAAACAGGCUCCAUAGGGAUGGAAGGGAGGAAACAAAUGUAACCUGCGUUCUCCUUUUGUGUUAGACAUGGUACUUUGUGCUCUGCAUACAUCAUCUCAUUUAACCAACAAGCCUUUAUAGCUACAGCAAAGAAAACAGUUAUGAAAACUUAAGCCUCUUGCUUAAGAUCAUGAGCUAGUAAGUGGCAGAGCUGGUGACCUGAAUUCCUGGUUUCAAGCCUUAAAUAAGGCUUUCACUCCUAUGCAGCAUGGCAGCAUACCAGAGUAUUUAACAAUUAUAUUUAUGCAAAUGUAUUUAUGAAUAUGCCAAGAGACUAUGAGGAGAACAUAUUGACAUUGUUGCUUUUUAGGAAAGAAGACUAAAUUCAUUUCAAACAACCCAUGUUCACUUCACCUGGAGCUUCCCUGAGAAAAACGGGUGGCUCACUCUUGGUCACCAUGGUGGAGUAACAGCUGUCCACUAGGCAGAUAACAAAUGAUAUUUCAUUCUUUUUUCCUGCUUCUUAUGAGAAGGCCACGGUGAACUUCUUUGUAUUCCUGAUUUCAUCCCUCUACUGUGAGAUAGCGUUGUGUUUUUCUGAAAGGGUCUUGUACUGAGCCAGCCUCAACAAUCCAUUGAGAAUGGACUGUUGGCUCUGUCACACUUACCUGAAGCUUUUAUGGCUCUACUACUGAUUAAGAGGUGGAGGAAUAUGAAUUCUCAGGUAAUAGUUUGCUGUAAUCAACACGUUAGUUAUGUUGUCCAAAAGUCUGCAUCAGUAAUGUACCUCUUUAGAAUCUAUUUAUACAUUGAAUUUCUUGUCCCUGGUAUUGGUAAUUUUUGGUUUAAUAUGUUUUUUAAAAGAUGAGAUAAUAAAAUGUGAUGAAACUUUAUGAUAACCUUUCUAAAUAAUCUGCUUACAGAAUUGUUCAAAAUUUCUGUCCUCUCCUUAUGAAUUUCCUUCCCUAAAUAGAUGCAUUGAUACAGGUUCAUGUCUCCAUUUCUCCCCCUGCAGAUUCCUCUCCUUACCUGUCCUCCCUCCCAGCUUUCUUGCCUUCUGGCCUCCCUUGCCUCCCUUUUUGGCCAGGACUGGUAUUGGGAUUUAAUUUGGUGUUUCCUCCUCUAUUGUUGCUGGACUGAGGUCCACUCACGAGCUCCCAGUCACCUCCCUCUCCACUCCUGUGGCCAAUGUUCCUUCCAGCUCCAUCACCAGUUUUAAAGAUAGUCUGAACUUUCUUGUCAUCCUUAGUGGUUUUUAAAUCACCCACUUUCUAUCUGACCCCUGUGACCUGUCAUCUGCCCUUUCUACUCAAAUGAAGUAACUUUCUGAGGAACCAUCCGUAACUUCUGUUACAGAGUCCAAUCAAUACUUAUUUUCUGCAGCGCUUGCUGUUGCUGGGUACCCACUCCCUCGAGUUUCUUCUCUCGUAGCUCUGGGGCACUGUACCAAUGUUGGUGUUUGUACACUCACGCUACAUUAUAUAUGAGUAAAAAAGAGCAUUUCAAAAAUGAAAUGAUUCAGUGGGUCUCCUAAAAAGGUAGCCAGAAUAUGUAGAUGCAAGUUGUCAGAGUUAGUAAGCUCACCACCAUAUCACAUAUGAUGUUGAAAGAGGAGAAAGGAAAAGCCAAACCCCGCAGUCCAUACCAUUAAUUAAAAGAUGCUUUUUUCUUCUUUAAAUAUUAAGGAAUAUUAAUAGAUGUGUGAUGAUGUCUUGAGAAUAACCUCAGUGGCAAAGAAUAUAUUGAAGUGUUUCUUUGGAAAAAUGUCUUUCCAUUUCCUGUGGUUAUUCCAAAUGUAAAAAUCGGCACCAUUUCCUGAAAAGGUCAUGUGAGUGUUCUAUGAGGCCUGAUUGGUAAAAGAUGAUAUGUCCUGAAAUACUUGAAACUAAAAAUUUUUUUUGUGUCAUAUCCUUUUUGUUCUUUGGGUAUAAUCAGAAGUGUCAACUUUAGAAGAAUAUUAUAAAACAAAUAUUUUAUGAUUACAUUGUUUUAGUUUUAUUUGAAAAGAAAAUUGUAAAAUGCAAAGAGAAGACCCACGUUCACUGUUAAUGAAAAUAUAAGAAAAUACAUCAAUUUUGUGUCUGCCAUAUCAAGCACCAGUAGGAUAGGAAGCUAUGAAAAUGAAGGCAAUGACUACAUAGUAACACUCGAUUUCAUUAUUUUAACUCCUGGGCCCAUCAUCAUUUUGUUUCUUCCAUCCUAGUAGAAUCAAAGGUGCAGUCAUUUUUGUGAAGGUGUUAUUUUCAUGACAGUGUAGACUAUACCAAAUAGGUACUUUACCUGCCACAUCUGAAGCUCAUUUACAAACCAUAGUUCCCUCAGAAGGAGUGUGUGCUUGACAUAGAUUAACAGAUAUUUGACAAAUGAAUUGGUACAAUAAUGGUUUAAAUCACAAAUUGGCUUUUUGUUUUGGUUUUUUGUUUGUUUGUUUGUUUUGGUACCAGGGAUUGAACUCAGGGGUACUUGACCACUGAGCCACAUCCCCAGUCCUAUUUUGUAUUUUAUUUAGAGACAGGGUCUCACUGAGUUACUUAGUAUCUUGCCAUUGCUAAGGCUUGCUUUUGACUUGUGAUCCUCCUGUCUCAGCCUCCUGAGUCAUUGGGAUUCCAGGUGUGUGCCACCACACCCAGGCCACAAAGAGUUUUUUACAGACAUAAGUUGCUUCAUUAAAAACGACUUAUAAUGUAGCCAUCAAAAAUAUGGCAAUCACUCUUAAUAGAUAAUAAGCUCUAUUAUGGACAGAAAGUGUGUUUGUACAUUCAACUAUUAAAGAAAACUUAUUUCUGGUGAUUGGAUAGACAUAUUUGAUUUUUCAUUCCAUCUUUCAGAAAAUGAAGAUGCUACUUGUCUUUCAUCUGACCUUUCAAAGUCAGAUGGAAUAUGGAAAAUCCAGCUGCAUUUCCAUUGCACUUUUUUUUUGCUUGGCCAUUUUCCAUGGUGGGUAGGUGGUCUGUGUCUAGAUUUGAAAAAUAGCCCAAAUUGCUUAGUUUUUCCUAAAGUUUAAUACUUAGAAACAGAAGUAGCACCCUCUAGCAAAACUGUUACCAGGAACACAGUAAGCUUUUCAGGGUUAUUUAUGAGUAAGAGAUGAAUAGCCUUGUCCUCGCAGUGAGAGAAAUAGAGUGGAUCCCAGUUUGCUUGUAGCGCAAGAACACUUGAUGAGAGAGAACACUGGUAUACAGGGUUUCAAACACAAGAGAGCAAACCCAGAGGCACUCCUGAGUUUGCUUUGUCCUAUGGGCUCAAAAUAAGUAUAUUAUGUUUAAUUAAUUCUAAGUCUGUAAGUGCUGCUCUAACAAUGUCAGCAGUCCAAGUUAAAGACAUUUGAGGUGAUGUUUGUAAUCAUGAAAAUGUUCAUAUGCUGAUGACAUAGUAAUAACAAUUUAAAAUAAAAGAAUACUUAUGUACAGGAAAGUAGUUCUGUGGAACAGAAUUAGAUCAAGGCAAGGUUGCAUGGUGGGCAUUUAGUCGUGAAAAUAUCAAUCUGUACCUAAUGAUUGCUGUGAAUCAGCCUUCAAACCCAUUAGAUGUGCCAUUUAACCAGGCAACAUAUGCCCAUUAUUUUUUAGCAGAAAAAGCAACGGCCAUAUGUUCAAUAGUUAUUGAAUUGUGACUAGCAGGUGUGCUUCACCAUAAUAACAAUGAUGACAAUAAUAAUAUCUUCAGCCUCAACUCUCUCCAUAGUAAGGACAAAGGAGGAAAAGCAAUAAUUAUUUGAAGAAUUUGAGUAUUGUAAGAAGCCAAUCUAGAUAUUUUAAAGCAAAUUUCACUUUCAAUAGCCAGCAGUCUUCUUUCUUUUCUCCUCCUUAGUUUGGAUAAUUUUCUUUGAGUUCCAUUUUACUCCUUUACCAACAUUAAACCUAUACAAUUUCAUCUCAUGUUAUUGAUUAUGUUCCUGUAUAUUUGCAAUGGUUCCUCAAAAAUUUUUAUUUUUACUUUCACAUAUUGCAGUAUUUGACCCUCAUAGCAACUGUGUUGAAGAGGUAGAAGAGAGACAUUGUUGCUUGUUUUCCCUUUAAAAAGCUGUGGUUCAGAGAGGUUAAGUGACGGUUUCUACUCCACAAAAAGAAAUUUGUUGCAAUUUUUCUGGUGAAGCUGUCAUUCUUAGAGAUAGUAAAGUGACCACACUAAUAGAGUGUUACACAUGUGUCACUGUCACUAUUACUCUGCUGGAAAACAUAUUGUGUCAGGAGGUCAAGAACAGGAAGAGGAAACACAGAUUGAUAAAAUAAGAGCUGUGCUAUUGAAGGAACACUUAAAGCAUGCACCAGGUAGGUUCUAGAAUAUGAUCCCCUUCCCUUUAGCUGUGUAUUUCAGUACUGAAUACAUCAUGAUAAUUUUUUUAAAGGGCAGACUAGUGUUAAACCAUUCAUAUAAAGUGUCAUGUUGGUACAAUAUAGAAUGGUUUACAUAAUUAAUAGCACAUCCCUCUGUAGGCUAACUAGAAGAUACCCAUAUUACCAUAGGGGAAGCAAUUUUUGGUAUUGUUUACUCACAUUUUUUUAAUUAAAAAUUUAUAAAUGGAACUUAAACUCAAGGAGAAAAAUGAAGAAUCAAAAUAACAAACAAAAUUUCUAAUUUUUCCAGGAAAAUUUCCUUCCCAUAUAGUAGCCAUCACAACUGCAGCCAUGCAAUCCACUGGAGCCAGUCUUCCAUGCAUCUGAAGAUAUGAUGCAGGACAGGAGGUACAGUUUAGCCAAGCUUUGGGGGGAAACUGGAAUGAGGAAUUUGACAUCCUUGGGCCUUUUCCCUUUUUUUGUCUUGAUGGGCAAACACUUUUCCUAAGUCAUCCUUGUGAAAAGUCCUGGACCCAUAAUGACCAUUUGUCAUACCAUAAAUCUGAUGCUUCAUCCAUGUCUGAUAGUACUCUGGUGGUCAUUUCAGGUUACAGAUUUCACCUUUAAGAUUUCUUAAAGAGAAGUCUGACAAUUCAUCCUGUCUUAGAAGAAGAAAAAUCAGGCACCUCUUUUCAUUAGGAUGUGAGCCAUGUUAACAGCAGCUUGUUAUCAGGCUUGGCAUUUCCCAAGGUUAGAGGCCACAUAUGGCCACAUAUGAUACAUACUAAAAUGUGUGUUUCAUCUCUUGCAUAAGUUUGGAGUGUAAACAACCUUGAAAUUGAGCUUGGAGGAAAAGAAAUACUUGAAAAGUAUUUAUUCUUUUAAAUACGAAUAUAACUUAGAACUUAAAAUAUGUUCUAUCUUAAAACAGGUGGCAGAUCGCUUUUUAUUUCUGUGCAUAGGGAGAGAAAUUGGGGGUGAAGGGUCAGGAAAUGUUUCUUUUUUAUUGAUAUACACAUUUUAUCCUUAAAUCAGAUAAAAAUCUCCCAUGAUAACUUUCAAAGUGCACAGUACUUGUAAAAAUCUGGUUUGAUAAUUAUUGCAAAAAAAAAAAGGAAAAUAUAAGAUCUGAUAGACUGGUGACAUUCUGUACAGCUUAAUACUAACUUGUCACAGAAUAUCUAAUAUUCAGCCUUCUUUUGGAUAUUUGUACUUUUUUCUUGUAAAUUAUUUACACUGAGACAAAAAGUCAUUGGUUUUGAACUGAACUUAAUUUAGGCAUCUAAAUGAUAUACCUGAACACAUGCUUUGGCCCUGCCAUGACUUUUUAAUGACUUUUCCAUUUAACUUGGUUUUGAAAAUUGAUUUGCCCUUUAAAAAUAAUAUCAGCAUUUAAAGUAAUUUCACUUGCUUUUUGUCUGUGCUGUAACUGAAUAUGCUCCCUCAGAGCAUGACUUCAAAUAGGCAGCUCUUAGGAAGAUGUGACAACUGCUGUGCAUCAGCUGGAAAUGGCAACUCUGAUAACAAGAAUGUGAACAUGGCUUUGGGGUGAGGCAAAAACAGAGACCAUUGAAAGUUGACUUCAUUGGCUUGAUGUGCAGACACUGUAGGAAAUUGGGGGUGAUCUCUGGGCACAGCCAUCCUCCUGAGCUAUGCAUGCUGUAGAGCUGUCUGCUACAUCUUCACAGUUGCUCCUUUGCUUCUUUCUCUGAAUAUCUGCCUCUUUAUCUAAUCCCAGGUCAUUGCUCUUAGCUCUAUUCAUGGGGGAAAGGUAGGGAUUGAGGCUGACGGGCUUAAAAAUAAGUGUCUGGAGGUCACUUUUGCCCAUCUUUUCAUUGGGUCUUGUUCUGUCUCUCCGCUGAUAAGCAAAUUCAUACCACUCAGCAUCCUGGUACUUAAGACAACAGCAAUGAUGCAGAAACAGAUACCCAAAGUAGCAAAUUAGAGCAGAUAUAUGAAAUUUGUGAUGUCGUGAAUACUGAAAACACUGAGCAUUCUCAGGGCUCUAGCAUCAAUUUAGAAGAUAUUACCAAGUACCUGUCCCUGCUUCCAAUUACUCAUCUAUAAAAAUGGAGAUAUAAUUCUUUGAGAUUUCUCUUAAAGUAGCAGUAGGUUUAAUUGGGAGACACGGAAGAAUCAUCACAAUGAUCUUAAAAAUAGUUUUGAUUAUGUCACUAGGAAAGAUACAUGUCUAAUAGGGUGCUAUCAUCCACUAGCCCUGACCUUUCAGCAUCACUGCAUCUAUGUUCUAGUGUUCAGGAUCUAUAUGUCAUGUCUUCAGCAUAUAUCUUGUGUACAUAAGGGUGGUAAGAAAGUUUAGAUUCAGGGCUAGAUUUGUAGCUCAGUGGUAAAAGCACUUACUUAGCAUGUAUGAGGCACUGGAUUUGAUCCUCAGUACCACAUAAAAAUAAAUAAAAUAAAAGUACUGUGUCCAUCUACAACUAAAAAAUGAAUAUUAGAAAAAAAAGAAAGUUUAGAUUAAACUAAAAAUACCUGUGGGCUUAUCCUAUGCAACUAUGUGCGACUACUAGCACUACCUGGAAAAUUAAUUCUAUUUUACCUUCUUACCUACCCAUGGGCAGCUCCCAAGAAGUCCUGCCUCUCUCUUCCAUUCCUGAUUAAUCCAAGAUUCAAGUCGGGCAUCAAAUCUCUUGGAAAACCUUGUAAGCAUUUCUUCUUCCCUUUUUUUCUGCCAUGAUUUCUCCUCCAGGAUAGAUACUAUAUGAAACCCUCUCACAGAGGGCCAUCAUUAUGCAUUCUAAUAAACAUGUCUGAAUUUGUAAUUGGAUCAAAAGUAUCCCAAAUGUGAGAUCAUUAUCUUUUUCUUUGUAUUGCCCAUUUUCAACGUAAAGUGAAUACUUUCUAAAUAUAAGCACACCCUUUCCCAGGCAUUGUAGAUAUAGGAUAGAAUCAUUAUUUCAUUUGUUAUGUCCGUGAAGUACCCUUGGUGUUGUCUAUGUCAAACACUCAAUUUAUAGGUGGGGAAACUGAGGAGCAGAAUGUAUGUUAAUUCAUUCAUUGCUCAUUUAUUAAUUUAUAUUCAGGCAGCACAUAUUGUUGAACAUCCAUGAGCCUGGCACUGUGCUAGCCACCGGAUAUGCAAUACGGAGUAAAACGGAACAAAAGACAUGGUCCUUCUGUCUUGGAGCUUGCUUUUUAGUGUGAUAUUGAAACAGCAAUCCAAUAUUACAUAUGACAUGAUAUUCACCAAUUGUGCUAAAUGGGAAUAAUGGGAGCCAAUUGACAAGGAGGGUAUUUAGCCUAAUAGUCUGAUGUUGAAACUGAAAUCUGAAGAACUGCAGAUGUACACAUGCACAUGCAGGGGGAGGAGCUCACCAAUCAUAGGCUUGAGGCAGGAGGGAGCAUGAUGCAUUCAAGAAACAGAAGAGGUAAAGAUGCUGGUAAAGAUAAAUGGGUAAAGUAAGGAGAGAGGGGCACACGAUGAGAGGGAGAGGAGGCCAGGGGCCAAUUCCUGUAGGAUCUGUAAAGCCAUUUGAAAAUGUUUAGUUAUUUACUGAGAACAUUAAGAGCACUGGAAUAUUUGAGAACCAGAGGGAGGGGGGUUGGCUGAUAACAUGUGUAUUUUGAAAGAAGUAUGUGCUAUGGUGUAGAGAAGAGAUUGGUAGAUCUGCAGAUUGAGCAGCAGAGUGAAUGAGGCAACUGGGAAGAAUUUCUUACAGUGCCUACAAGAGAUUUUGGUCUCUUGGAGAGAACACUAGACAUAUUUGUCUUAUUUUCUUGCUAAUGCUAUUAACAUUGCUCCUUAUCAAGAAAGGCCUUGUUCUACAUGAACUUCCUGUGUGCACUGCUUUAAGCUUCCCAUUUCCCCAAAAAAGAGGGCAGAGGCUAAUGAAUAUUCCAUUUUCUGUGACUGGAGAGUUUUCGGUUUUGCGAUAUCCCAAUCUCUUUGAGCACCAUUGCUGGCCUUAAGUAGCCCAUUACAUACUUCAUGGAAGAUCUGAACAUCAGGUAGUCAGAUGACAUUGUUAUAAAGAGCAUAAAAAGACUCUAGAAGUUCUGUGAAUGACAGAGCAGUUGAGGCCACUGUUGACCCUUAACACCAAUGAUUGGAGCACCAGAGGAAUUGGCCUCUUGGAGGGAAGAUGUAACAUCACCUUCCCAGGCUGAUCUGAAGUGAAGCAAGUGCUGUUCAGCAGCACUAAUUGGAGCCUCCUUAGAAACCCACCAUGGGCAAGAUGCAGCUCAUGUGCACCUUUGGGAUACAGAGGAUUUACCACCUACACCAAAACAGGAAUAACUACUUGUUCAGAGGCUUAGCUGAAUAGUAAUAUCGUUAGCAAGAUACAUAUCUUAGAAAAGGAAAUUCACUUACAGUGACCUGGGAUCUUACUCCAUCACAUCACAGUGAUGGAGCCAGACUCACCAGUCACCGAGCUCAUCAGAAGGAGAUGCCUGUUGACUGUUUCUUCUCUAAGUGAAAUCACCAUCCUCUUGGGCUCUUUGGGAUCAUCCAAUUGCUGCUGUAGGUGACUAUACUUCACGGUAACUCAGGGUUUCCAUCCACACUGCUGUCCCACAGCCUUCUUCAUGUUUCUGGUAGGCAGAUGGGAAGACACUGAAGCAAAGCAUAGCCCACCUGUAGGAAUCCUGCAGACUCAAUGUGACUUGAGUUGAACAGAAGGAGAAAUUAUUGUUUAAUGUUGUCCAGCAAGUGAAUAGCAGGGCCAGAACCAGAAAAUAGGCCUUUCAGGGUCUUUUUCACUACUAAAUACUUUUUGGUUUCACAGGGGUAGGAUCAGUUUAUUGGCUUUCAUUGGUAUAUUUUGGGCAAGGAAAAUGAAGCAGAGAAUAAGGAAUAAUUAGAAGCCCCAAUGGUAUUUAUUUCCCCAUAUUAAGAUGGAAGUUGAAAAUUUUCCUACUAUAUGCUACAAACACAAGUUUAUUAAAGAGUUUCUCUAUUCUUUGGGCAUAGUCUAUUUUCUUCUAUGAUGUCACUAUAGUUCUUGUUUUCUGUAAAAUCUAAAGAGCUGGUGUUGCUAUUAUCUCUAGAUGGGAGCAAAACUUCAUAAAUUGUAGCAUUCUGUGCAUGCAUGGGAAAAUAGCUCUUACAAUGUUAGCCAAUUCCAUUUCUCAGUUAAAAAAUAAAGUGAAUUUUAAAGUGUAGGAUAAGUGAAUUUUUAUGUUUCACUUUUAGUUAUUGGAUUGUCUAGAUAUUGUAUUUUAGGAGGGCACUAUUCUUCCUGGAACUUAGAAAAGCAGUCAUUCAAUCACACAGUGAUUUUUAGAAUUUCUUUUAAGUGAAUAACAAUUUUAGGAUGUCAAGUUUUAGAUGUCUGGUUUCAACUUGUUUGGCUAAGCUGACAUUUAAAAUUCAGUCCCGAUGUUAUGUGAAUUGUCCUAGCUUUUUACCUCUCCUUUUUUCUUCUAUAUUGGAAACCUGUACAGAGAACACUAUCACUUAAUAAAAAAAAGAUGUUUCCUGCUUUGUUUCUUUUUAUUCAACUCAGAACUGCCUAGGGGGGGAAGAUUUCUUUCUUUCUGAAUGUGGUAAGCCACAAAAUGGAAAAUAUACACGAAAGCACUUGUGCCUCUUCUCUAUUAACCUUGGAAAAAGGUGACAGGAGUGUGUGAACAAUGCGGUUAGAUGCUUGAAUGUACUCGAUUUAUUCUUAUUAUUAAUUUAAUUUAAGGGUUUCACUUGACAAGUAACUUCCUUGAUUUGUACAUUUCAAAAUUGUUUUCCCUUUUUUCUCCAAAAUAACAAUUUGUCCUUCUGAAAUCCUCUGAAAGAUUUUAUGCCACUGUAGUUUCAAUCAUGGUGAUGAUUUCUGUGUCUGUCAUGAGUGGUUUGAUUUGCAUGUUUAUACUUAUGUCACAUAAAUCCAGAGGAUACAAUGCGGGCCCUAGUAUAUGAUUCCUUUGUACUGUUUUGGAAAAUUUUGAGGGCAGCAACUCAGAUCCCUGAAUUUGGAAUGAAAUGCUCAGGUAUAACCAAAUGUUAGAAUGGCAGAUUCUUUAUAAAUUAGAUGCUGAAAUUGGCAAAUUUUACUGGUUUCAUUUCCUUUGGGAAAUGACUGUGAUGUUUAAUUCUUGACUUUGGAAUUGUCUUUGACUACUCAGAGUGAAAUACCGCAUUUUAAAUUCUAAUCUAAGACAUUAGGGAAGCUAGACAUUUAGGAAAUCAAUAUUUGUACUUGAUAGCCAUAUGCCAUAUAUUAAAGUGCAUAUCUCACUGCACAUGUCUUAUAAAAGAUCAUUGUGUGAACGGUAUUAUACCAACUUCUCCUGAACUUUCUAAAUAUAACUGAUUAAAAUUAUUUCCUGGAGUGAUUAUUUUGGUUAUGGUCUCAACUUUUCAAAACCAAGAUGGUAGUGUAGAAGUGGUUAAUAUAUUGUGUUAGUCAACUAUCUUUUUUAUGGACGUGGGUUGUUAUAAACUACCAUCCUAGAAAUAGAUACACACACAGACAGACACACAAACACAUACACAAUAUCAGAGAGAAUUUUCAGGUGCACUCUUUGAGAUUGGUGAUAGAAAAUCUGAGAUUAGGACCCACAAAUUACUAGGACACUUGGUUUUAUAUCAAAGGUCAAUGAAGAGUCAUGAAGUCAACACCUCAGUGAAAUGUCCUUAAGUAAAGGCAUAAUGGAAGUGCAGCCAUAUUAAAUAUGUAUUUUUCCCAAAACUGAUCAGUCUUGCAUAUGACCAGGUGAGGCAAGAAAACCCACCCUUGACUGGACAGUAAUUCACUUAUGUUUUCCUAACUUCAGUGGAUCUAUGCCAUACUGAAUACCUGCAUAAGAUUGCCUUAUUGCCUUGCACAAGUGUAUAAUCAGGUCAGCCUUUAUCUAACCUGUAUAGUACUCCAUCAUGGUUUUUUUCCCUUUUUGUUCUUUCAAAUAUGUUGACUCUUCUUGAUACUUCUGAAGCCACAGCUCUUUCCCUAUCAUUACCAGCUAAGUUUUAAUAACUUAUACUCUAAACUGUUACCUCUCUGAAUUCUCACUAUAAUUCCAUGGCAUUAUCAUUGACAUUUUAUAUAAUAAGGUUACCAAUAUUUAGAAGUAUCAUUUUAGUCACACUGCUGAUUAUACUAAAGCCAAGAAUUGACUCAGGUCUGGAUUAUUCCAUGCACUGGACUGUGAUGUAUGUGUAUUAUACAAAAUGUCAACCUUGAAAGUAUCAUUUAGUAGAUAUUUUGGGGUCUCUACAGAAGGUUACAGAAACUUCUUUAAGUAAACUAACUCAACUUUUAAAAAUAAUUAAAUGUAAUUUUGGUGAAGCAGUUAUCAAUUUAAAUUGGCUUAAAGUGAGCAUACAUCUUCAAUAAGCCUGGAAUGGAGGACAAUAUCCCAUUAAUUUGGGGGUCUGUCUUACACACUUGACCUUAUCCUUUAGCUUCAGCUUUGUAUAAAGUAUGCAUUUGUCACUAUAAUCCAUUUCUGCCAGGCACAAGUGUCUUUCUCCACCCAAAUGCAAUGCAAUACAAUCCAAUUCAAUCCAAGACAAACCCCCUCCAAUUAGUCUCUGGAGACUGUGGUUUCUAUUUAGACUCUGGAUAGACUUUGUACUUUUGCAGAUGGUGGCCACACAUAAGCUGUGGGUUUAUCUUGAAGACACAUAGAGACCCAUUUCUAGGUUCAAAGUUGCCUCUGGGAUGGAUUCACAUUCCCCAUGGCAUGCCUCUCUGUGCACUGGCUGGUAGGAGGGAAGCAUAUGUUGACAUAAGUUCUCACUUUUUUUCAAAUUAGGACUUCACUCUAAACAACCACAGGGCUGAGGAAAGUCAUUGUUUUGCCUAUUGCAUAGUCUCUUUCCAAAGAAAGUACUGGUCCACCUUUAGCUCUUGUCUUGAUGUCUUUUUCGGGGAUUAUUUCUGCUCUUUGUGAAAUUGGUACUUUAGUUUAAGUUCAGAGGAGAUUACUACUGGAAACACCUGUGAUUGCCCCCCAAGUUUUAAAUAUCAAUUUAAAAGCCAAAGCAUUCACUAAAUGAAAGAAUUCUUUGAAUUUCUACAGAGUAGUACCAAAUCCCAUCAGGGCAACAUUGAAAUUGAAAUACCUUUCAAUAUGUGCAUCCUUUGGAAAAGUGUGGCUUAAAGAACAAAGUUCUUGUUAGCUUGACCUCAUUGGAUUCAUAUUAUAGAAUCUCCAAAGUAUGAUAAAUGUAUAGGUAUCUCUUAAUAAGCCAUAAUACGAUCCAUAGAAAUAAUCAGAGUUGAUGUAAGAAAAAAUGGGAUGGCAAAGUUAUUUAGCAUCCUUGCAUGGAGUUGAGGAAAGGGAAAGACAGAUUUUUUUCUUUCUUAAGUUUCUGGAAAAAAAAAUAAAAGGCAGGACAUGAUAUUUGUGGUUACUGGUCUUUCCUCAGUUUUAAGAACAACAACAAACAAAAAUCAAACAACAACAACAAAAACAUGUUUACAGGACUUUGCCAAGCAAAGAUAAUAUGACAAAAGGGUUGGCAAUCCUGGUGAAAUUUUUUUUAAAAAAAUGGAGUUUUGUCAGAUAGUGAAUGGAGUCUAAUUAUAUUCAGGGGCAGGUUAAAGUAAUCAGAAAGCAAGGAACACAAUUAUGAGAUAGGCUUGAUAACAGAUGGCCCAAUAAAAUACAAAAAUAGGAAGAUAAAAAUAGAAUGCUUUUAUAUAAAUUCUUGAAGAGUUUAAGAAUAUUUGAGAUAAAAACUUAGAAGAAAAAGUACUAAAAAUAAAUUUGAUGAGAUAUAUAUUCUUAAAGGAAAAUAAAAGGCUUAUUUUGUGUAAUGAGUGGAGAAAUACCAGGUUUUUCUCUGAUUUUCACCAUUUUAUAAGUGCUUUGGGAUUAUAGAGUUUUUAUAAUUGGGGACAUACUUUUAUGAAAAAUGAACCCCAAAUAAAAUCAAUCCUGUUUGUUCCAGCUAUUCCUUUUCUUUUGCUUCUUUUCCUAAAGGACAUUCCUCAAAGCCAUUUGAAAAUUAAGAUAUGAGAGUUAGAAUUUUUUGUUGUUGGUAAAGUUAGUGGUUUGUGGAAAAACCUCCUUCUGGGUUAUUGGCAUUGUUUGACUAAGAUUUCUGAAUGCACUUUGUGUACAAAGGUCUACUCAACUGUUACUACAGAAACUACACCCAACUCACUGGUUCAAAUGUAUGUCAAAUGUAUGUAUGAUGCUCAGUGCUGACAGGAGUUUAGAAUUAAAGUCAACUGUUCUCUGUGAUAAAAUGAUACUUUGAGAAAGACUCAAGGAAGGAGUGCUUGUGAGUAACUGCAGGUUUUCCUUCUGUCUUCCUGUGCUCUUAGCUCCAUGUUCUUAUUCUCCUUCUAUAAAGAAAGGCACACAUAUGCAUUUUGGGGGAGGUUCUGUGGUGUGACAGAUAUCAAAGGGCUUAGACUCAACCCAACUCUGGUACUCAGUUUCUCAUGCUUUCAGAGUCGUUGAGAAGGAUUUUAUAAAAUCCGGUGCCCUGCCAUAGUCCAGCUUGCCCAUGAGACACCCCCUGCAAGGUCAGCCAUUUCCACAGCAUUGAAGUUUGCUCAGUGAUUCCUGGUUCCCUGGAUUCUCAUUGCUGAAGAGAAGGCCACUCAACACCACAUCAGACAGGGACCCUCCCAAGAAGGCAAGAAAGGUGUUCAGAGUCAGCUCUAGAUUGUCAACAUUUUGCUUUUUCUGAUCCUGAAAUUUUCAUUCAAAAAUAGCGGUUCUUAUUUAAAAAUCAAAACAAACUAAAAUGCCCACCAAAACCUCAAAAUUCUUCUUAUUAUGACUUUUAUAAUCUCAAUUGUAUAUUAUAACUUUUUCCCCUUUCCACACAAAUCCAAUUUCUCCUUCAAAAUACUUUUUUUAAAAGAGAGAGAGAGAGAGAGAGAGAGAGAGAGAGAGAGAGAGAGAAUAUCUUUUUUGUAGAUGGACACAACACAAUGCCUUUAUUUUUAUGUGGUGCUGAGAAUCCAACCCAGGUUGCACCCAUUCUAGGCAAGCACUCUACCGCUGAGCCACAAUCCCAGCCCCUCAAAAUACUUUUUAAAAAAUAUCAAAAUCAACUUACUAUGUAAUUCUUUUAGCUCAGGAUAAAUAGUGAUUAGUGGUUUUUCCUCUGAAAAAUGAGUCACUUUUACUGUGAGUAGUUUGACAUCAGAGAGGGGAAGAUAUGUGAAUUCAGAGGAUAAUGCUGCUUUAUUUCACUUUGGCCCUGUUUGCAAAGCAAUAUCCAGGGCAGUCUUGCCCAGCCAAUGUUAAUCAUUGACCUUUAGGACCCUGGGGAGCGGAGCAGAUCUCUCUCCCUCCACCUCAUGAUUGAAUCAUCUUAAAAGCCCAUAUGCAUGGUCACAAUGUCCAAUACUGUAGAUGCUCAUUCACUAGCUCCAAGUGAUUACACUUCAAGAGAUUCUUAGAUCCAUGGUGAUGGGGAAUGAACUUUUUAAUUACAUGUCUUUUGAUUUCUAUCACCAGGAACUAAAUGAAUGGGGAAUUAAUUCACAAAGUUUGUUAUGCAUUUUCCUAUUUAAAAGAGGACCCUUUCCCACAACCUUUCUACUUUGUCCUUUUACCCCAACGGCUCAAUAAUGAAAUACCCUCUUUCUUAUUCCAACUACAUUGAAAACAUUCAGUAGACUUAGCACCCUCUGGAAUUCUGGCAAUAACUGCUGUACAGUAGUCCUGCUUCAAAAUUAGGUCCAGAAUAAAUAAGAAAUUUUUUUUGUAUAUAUUUUAGUCAUUUUCCUGGUGACCUCUGUAAGUUUUCAAUAUUGCCCAAGAGUUAUUUUGAAAUAGCUUAUAGUAAUCGUUUCUUAGGCAAAAUAUUUUCUAUUUGGUGAGAAAUAGUGAUACAUGAAGUAGAAAGGCACAAGUGUUCUCUUCAUAAACCAAGUUUUUAUCUGCACUUGAAAAAUCAACCAAUAAGAUGCAGGCUGAGGGUAAUUGGGAAUGCAUAGUGGACAAGCUCAAUCUUUUCAGGCUUUUGGUGUAAUGUAAGGUAAAACAUUGAAACGGAAAUGUGAGUUUAUUCUGGUAGCAGCUAAUUAAUAUCAAAGCAUUUUGAAAACCAUGCUCCAUAAACACCGGGUAAUAAGGAACAAAGUUAGUACUUCUCAUUGGUUGUGCAUUUUCAAAUAGUCCAAGUGUCCCUAGCACCAAAAAAUAAAGAACUGUUUCAGCAAGGCCAUUCAUUAGUCUAUAAAUCAAAAGAUGGUCUUUGAGUUUUUUCUAUCCUCAGGCAAAGACAUAUUUGGCUUUAUAUAAAGACUUAAGCAUAAUUUUGAAUUUCUAGAAACUGAUCAAGUCAUAAUAAACUUUAAAAAUUAUUAUUAGUAUUUUGAUUUUUGGAACCAGAAAAUUAUUACAUAUAUUAAAGCCUAGUAAAUGGUGCAGCUCUGGCUCACCUCAAUUAUACAGUAUAAAUAUUUGAAUUAGAGGCAGUAAGGAAGUUUUGGGAGCUAUAGGAGUAGAAUCAGGCAUAGGAGAGAUACCUGUAAGAUAGAGGUUGAGGUGGGAUUUACAGUUUUGCAAAUCAUGGAGGUAAUGAAAAUGGGGAUUAAAAACAGGAGUAGGGGCAUUGGAGGGAAUUUCAUGGGAAGAAAAACUGAGUAGAACCUCUAGAAUGCUUAUAGUUCCUUGGAAAAAUGGGUCUGAAUACCCACAAAAGACCAGCAUGUCCUCUUACAUGCUUCUCACUACUUGGCUGAGAAGCAGGGAGACAGAACAGUAUGAUGUUUGUGAAUUGUUGAUGAGGAAAUUAGUCUAGUGUGCUGAGGGGUUUGUGUGUUUUGAAACAUGCCCGAAGUGGCAGAAUAUUACUGAUGUUUGAAACGCUAUCAUAGUCUAUAUUUGUUAAAAUACUCAUUUCAAUUUUUAAAUCAUAUUCCUUUAAUAAAAGCAUGCUUGCUUGUUAAAACACAGCUCUUUGCUUGUAAUUUUGCUUGUUCCUAUACUCCUUGAUCCAUCAAUUAAAAUGUGAUUUCCUACUGGAGUCUUUGAUAAAUAUGCAAGGCUGUUUUCAUUGCAUGAGGAAGCUGAAAGAGCCCUUGGUUGGUCAUCUAGUUUAAUUGAAUCAUGCCUGUGUUUCUGGCACAGUUUUCAUUUUAUGAAAGAAGCACACAACUUCCCAUGUUUUGUAUUUCUGCAAAUCCAGGUGAGCAAAUAUGUCCUUAGAGUCUAGUCCAGGAUUUAACUAGCAUGAUAUUUGUUUAAGAAAUACAUGUGAUAAAUGAGUCAAUUGGCAUGUUCUCUCUUUAUGUUAAUGCUAACAUUUAAAGGAAUGGGUGAAUCAGUGUUUUUAUCUGCAUCUCUUGACUUUUGAGAAAUAAGAAGACUUGAGUAAUAGUGUUUUAUAGCAAAAAUGUCUUCUCAUUGAUUUUACUUAAGUCACUCCCAGGUGACUCAUUGGGGAACAAAAAGGGAAAUCCUUUGUGAUGAAUCAGAUGCCAUUCUGAGAUAUAGGUCUUUUUAGACUUUUUUCUGUUUAUUUCAAAUCAGCACUGCCCUUUUAGAUCAAUACCAAGCGAAUAACAGCCAAAAAUUGGCUCACAUAAAAGUGACAGGGUAUUGCAGAGUUCUAGUUACUGUUUUCAUGGUUGCUAGCACCCUUCUCCAGGAAAACAGAUUGGCCAUUAGACACCUACAUGAUAUCCUUGAAGAGUAAAUGGAAUUGGGAUCUAUAGUCUACUUUACAGAGAGGCUAUGCAUAGGGAGACCUCCAGUGUCUGGGAUUAGAGCUCUUGGGACACCCUUGUGCCCAUUCUCCACCAUUCUUUAAGUGAUGGAAUUUAUAAAAACAAGUCUGGAGCCAGAAGGCAUGGAGUCUGUCUGCCUCAGCCUGGGCAACUGUAUUUUAAGAAUUAAGUUCUUUCAAAUUUUCUUCUUAGGAAAACUGUUGUCUUUCUCCAGAUUGGGAAGAGACAGCAAUUAAUAAAGAAAUAAUAUGUCCUCCUCUAUGAAGAGAGGUCCCUUCAUAAUGAAUUUCUCUUAGACCACAAUGAAUACCUGUAAAAGAUCCAGGCUGUUGGCUUGUACUUUGUAACUUAGGAACUGAAAAGGACUCUUCUUGAUGAAUUAUUGAAGGCUAAACAAGGUGAAAAACAGGUCUUCCUGAGACCAGUGUGAAGUGAAGUGGUAAUGAUGCCUGAGGGUUCUCUUUUCCUCCUGCCUGCUCCAUGAUCAUGUUGCCAGCAUGGGGCACCUGCAGGGCGAGAUUUAGACCCAAACCAGAUGUUGGUAUGAACUGAUUUUUGGAUUUGUUUCUGUGGAAAUUUCUGAUCCUUUCUGAGAUAUUUGGAGAGUGAUCCCUGUCCUUCCUUUGUUUCAGUUCUUCUUUCUUUCUCUACAUUUUAAUCUGAGGGCAAGUAACUCACAUCUACAAGGAAAUUCCCAGGGAGGAACUGGAGAUAAGUAUGUCUUUUUCAAUACAAUUUUCUUAGAAGAAAUUUCUGGGCUUCCAGGAGAAACAGAUGGUUGUUCAGCUAUUGUUAGAGACCUAGGUUUGUGUUUUGGAUGUCUGUCACUAGUGAUAGUUGGUGUUUUUGUCAGUUUUGCAUCACUGUGACCAACACCCAAGGAGAACAAUUUAGAGGAGGAAAAGUUUAUUUUGGCUCACAGUUUCAGAGGCUUAGUUCAAGGUCAGUAGACUCCAUUGCAAUGGGCCCUAGGUGAGGCAGAACAUCUGGAGAAAGGCAGAAGUAUGUUUUAGAGGAGGAAAGCAGCUCAGGACUUACUAAACAGGAAUCUAAGAGAGAGUUCCAAUAACCAGGGACAAAAUAUAAACCCAAAGGCAAGCCCCUAGUGACCUACUUUCUCCAGCCACACCCUACUUGCUUAUAGUGACCACCCAGUUAAUUCACUGAUUAGUUUUUAACUCUCAUAAUCUAUUAAUUUUACCUCUGAACAUUCUUGUCUCACACUUGCGCUUUUGGGGGACACCUCAUACUAAACCCUAAUAGUUGUGGUCAGAUUCAGGCCUGCUAGAGGAAGGGGUAGACUUUCUGGUUACUCUGUCUUUGUAAACAAAGUCAACCAAAAUUAAACCUUGGGGAAAAGAAGAAUUGAUCCCAGAGGCCAUCUGGAGGUAGAGCCAAUUGAAAAUCACUUUGUUCAUAUGAGCACUUUUAAGAUUUUUCAACAAUUUAUACCUAUUGCUUAAGAGCAAAGAGUUUAUAGUGGAAUGGGCAUGGGUUAGGAACUUACCACUACUUGUUAAGUUUAUUCAGUAUUGCUGAACCUCAGUUUUCCCAUCUAAAAAUAUGAAGGCACUAAUUAUAAUUAGUACAUUAGAUAUUAUAAACAUUCAACGAGGUAACUAAUAUUGGUUUGCGGCUGAAAACCUAUUCCAAAGCUUUCUGCUGACCUUAGAAACAAGCAAAAUAUACUAAUUAAUUUUUUUUUAUGUGUUUGAGCCUCUUUGAUUUUUCCAUUUAGAAUAGUCAAUAUUUUACUUGUAGUCCCGAGUUGAAAUUUGAUGGUUAAAAUGGAGAUAAAUGAGUAAAUGGGAGAAUAAAUGUAAAUGGUGCCAUAAUUGUCUUAGGUAUGGAUUAAAUUCACAGCAGAACUGUUGGCUUGAGGUAAUUAAAAAAGUAUUUAAGAGUUAGGAAUUUUUUUUAUCUUGUAAAUAUCACUCAGUGGGUUGAUUUAAUUAUAAAAACAGAAGUUUUGCAAUCAGCAUUAUCUCCCCCCAUAAUUUACUUCUGUUGGCAUUUUAAAGAAGGGCACCAAGUUUAUCCUGCUGGACAAUUACCAUAGAACUAGCCAGAGUUGGAAAGGAAAGUAGUUCUGACAUUUGGUUAAACAUACAUACAUAAAGACAAUGGCCAUGGGCAUCCAUUAUAAAAUAGAAGUCUAGGCAUACUUUCAUGGUCUGACACUGCUCAUUUUCCACACAUUGAUGCUCUUGUAAUUUAAAAUGGUCAGGAGAAGGAAAGAGUAAAAAGGAAAUAAUAGCUGACUCUCCGAAUCCCAUAAAAAAAUGAAGCUUAGAUCUCCGAAUGAUUGUUGGUGACAAGAACACCAGUAAGAGUAUAGCUUUAAAGAUGCACCAUUAUCUUUAAUUACUUGCUUAAUAUAAAAAUAUUUUUUGUGGAAAAGAGAAGGCAUCCAUUAAAAAUUAUGGCCUUUUAAUAGAUCUAAGCAAGUUAAAUCUUUUUUAAGCCAUUUAAACUUCAAAGAUACCAGCAAAAAAAUUUUUAUUGAUUGUUUAGUGUUAUAAUAAGCAAUGUAUUUUCUGUCAUAUUUAUGACUUGGUACAGGAUUCAGAGAUAUAUACAUCUCAGGGAUAGGAAGGACUUUAAAAGCCAUCUAUUUCAAUAGUGUAUGUGCAAUGUGUUUUUAUGUUUUCUAUUCUGUGUAAAUUAGAAUGCCAUACCAGGCUUCUUCUUUUGUUCUCUCUCUCUCUCUCUCUCUCUCUCUCUCUCUCUCUCUCUCUCUCUCUCUCUCUCUCUUUCUCCAUAUACACAUACAAUUUCUAUAUCCAUUAUAUUGUAUUUGCUACAAAAUUUUACUACUGUAAAGCAUUAUAGAAGUUUACACUUGAGGUUUAUUUUCUGCCAUAUGACUUGGUCAUGUAUUUUAUACCAAAUCUUUGAUUAGGAAUAGACAUCCAAUUAGAGCAGUGGUUUUGUACAUAUUUCAGAAUUUCAUUUUAUUGCCACAGUGAUUUGCAACAGGCAGGGAUGCCAGAUGCCUUGCCAAUGCACUUGACAAUCUUGCUCAAAAAAGAAUCAUACUGCUUCUCAUAAAAUAUUUGAAUGACUCAUCGGAUUUGUAUGUAAGUGUGUUUAUAAUUGUCUGAGUUCAGAUUUAAUUUCAUUUUACUUAUAAGCACAAAGUGUGUUUUCCACAGUUCUAGUAUACUCUGAAUUUUCCAGGAAGACAACUCAUGUGAAUUGACAGUGUUUUGCUUUAGUUUGCUAAGAACUUCUCCAAGAGAUGCUCAGCAUUUGAGAAAAUGACAUGCCCAAAGGCAGCACUGUUUGUGGCAUUUAAGUUAAGAAUACAAAACAGACAUUCAUUGUGCAUGCAAGUUGUGCUGGUGCAUUUCCAUGACUCUAAUUGUGGGUUCAAGCAUCUGGAUACUUUGAUAUGUCCUUUAAUAUGGUUUUGAAAUGGUUUUUAUAUUGAAAAGUAUAUACUUUUACUUGUUAUGAAUAUUCUUUUAUCUCUUUUAUUAUUAAACUUAUUGACCUUAGAUAUUAUGUUGAUUUUUAAAUUAUGUAUAUAGAUAGGUUGUAUUUCCCAUAAAUUUUAAUCCAUAGAUGAUAUAUAACUUGGUAUGACUUAUAAUAGUUAAAAGGGCACUAACAAGACAUAGUAAUAAAAUGAGGAUUUGUGUUUGAUACAGCUGAGAAGAUCUGAUAUAGAAGGUGGUCCUCUGUGGGGUCUCACUAUACCUUCUAACACAAUUAGAAUUAUGGGCAAUGCAUUACUUCUGUGUCAUUGUGCAGUAGUAUUACCACAAACUUAGUGGCACAUGUGUCAUCUCACAGUGUCUUGGGUCAGGGUUUAGCUGGGAUCUCUGAAAGGCUGCAGUCAAGGCAUGACAAGGGCUACAGUCUAAUCUGUAAGUUAGACUGUGGAAGAAUCUGCUUCGUGCCCAAUGGGGUCUUGUCAGAAUGUCCUUCCCUGAGACUGUUGGACUUUGGACCUCAGUUCUUACUAUUUGCUGUCUGUAGGCCCUGGGAACCUCUCCAAUAUGGCCACUUGCUUCAGUGUAUCCACUAAGGGAGACAGUCUGUAAGCAGGACAGACAUUGAAAUCUUAUGGAAGACAAUCACUCAAUUAACAUCAGUAUUAUUGUAUUCCAUUGGUGAGAAUCAAGUUACAGAUCCUAGCCCUACUCACAGGCAGGGUUUUCCCCAAAGGCAUAACUCUGAGAAUACAGGGAUAACUGGGGAACAUUAAAAGGGUCUGUUUAACAUAGCCAGCUUCCAGUGGCAGUGUUGGGUAGAGGGGAUAAACUCUUUGGAUGUAAGUGGUGGCUAAUAGAUUUUAUAGUGUUAAUUUUUAUAGUAUUAUAGUGUAAUUCUAAGGUUAUUUUUCCUGUCAUUUUGAAGCCCAUUAUACUCAGGGAAGAGGGAAAACUAGCCUACUAGAACAGAAUCUGCUCACUUCUUAGAUAACAACGUCCUUGCUAAUUUCAGGUGUGUAUAUAUGAUGGGGCUUUCUAUGGUGUUAGAGUACAGUGACACAGAAGUAAAUUUUCUUAAUUUCAUGCAUCUCAACGUUUUUUUCAUCCAGAUGACCCAGCUAGUUCCUGGGUUGUUUAAAGUUUGAGCCAGGGUCAGAUCUGGAAGAGGGAGAGAACAUUUUAAAAGCCCAGUAUAGCCACUAUGUAAGUAUUUAUUGAAUAUCUCAUGUGCUUGUCAUUGUUAUAUAUACAGGCAGAGGCUGAGAUUCUGCUGCCACAAAGUUUAUGGUAUAUACUGGAAUACAUACAUGUUGAGCUAAUCUAAGGUCUGAAGUCACUAUAUUAGCCUUUGGGGGUCUUCUGUAAGAAGGGUGGAAUAGUCUAUGUGGGAAAAAUAUGGGUAGAACACAUAUUCUUUUGGAAGAACCCAGCUAUUGAUUAAAAUUAUACUUCUGCUCUGUGAUGUUAGCUUACAAAUACUACUGAUUCUUUAUUUCUGCAAGCAAAAAACUGGGUCUAACAUCUUUACCUUACAGAUUUUUUUUGUGAUGAUAUUAAAAGCAUCCAGUGCAUAUGGGUUUCAAUGUGAAAUCCCUUUAUUCUUUCUCACCCUUCAAUAAAGCGGACCAUUAUAAAUUAACUAUGCUAUUUUGCUACUCAACCUGCUCCACAAAGUUAUAUAAAAGUAAAAAAUGCCAAAUAUUUAAAUAAUCACAUGGAAUACAAUCUCUUCAGUUAUGUAUGAUUCAUCUUUAUUGUUGUCAUUCUAAGGACUCACAAUCAUUCUCAAGAGUUUCUUCUUUAUUACUUUACAAUGGUAGCACAUCCUAAUUGCCCAGUGACACAAAAGACUUAAAUGACUCAAAGGAGUAUUUCUGCUUGAUAGUAUUAAUAAUACUAUCUUUGAAAAUACAUGAAUAUACUUAGCCAUUUUGAACUAAUCUAAGAUAUGAAGUCACAAAGAUCAUGCUGGUGGAAGGAUGGGCGGUGAGUGGAGUCCACAAACAUGUAUCAACUUAGAAAAUUCACUGACUUAUUUUUAAUGCUAAUUCAUUCAUUCAAAACACUUCUAGGUUUCUGUUCCAGGUUCUGAGUACUGGGAGAAUACUUAAAGAUUAUGCAUGUAAUGUUUGAUAAAUCCAGAUGAUAAAUUUCUCUGGGGAAGUGUGACUGUUUUUAGAGGUCAUCCUUUUAUCUGAAGAAAAAGCAGAGGAGCCCAAUUAAGUAAUUUUAUUCAUUAGAACUUGUGCAAUAAUUUCUACUUUUUCUUUCAGUAGGCAGUGAGGAAAGUAGGUUAAUAUGAAAUGAAAUAUUCUUAUAUCCUGCUGUUCGGUAGGUCAGAGGGUAUUGUAAACGUCACUUAACAUCUCUGUUGUUUUGAAAUUCCCAUUUUCCAUGACAUAAAUUCUUUGAUAUAAAGAAAUUCUAUUCAUUACAGGAAUGCUUUACAAUUUAAACUUGUAUUUAAAUGCCUUACAAGUUAUUUUUGACUAUAGGGACUCUGUAGAAUUUGUGAUUCAGUAUUUCUUGGCAUCUUUGUUGGGUGUGUAUUUAAUUUGUCUCUAUGCCUGUCUCUCUUGUUAGCUUAUGGUCCCUUGAGAGAGAGGUCCUCAGUUUGUCAUUUACCAGUUGAUCAGUAAGUGAUUUCUUAGUUAUUACUUAGAUUUUGAGAAUUAAAAGACUCCUUUUUCCUAUUGAUACCUGACAGAUUUUUACAUUCACAUAGUAAUAAUAUAUCAUCUUGGUUUUUGUUUCUUUGAAAUAUGAGGAAUGCUUUCCUGCAAAUUUCAAGGGCAGCCCAUUUGGCCCUAGCAAUUAUUUCUUUUGAGAUCUUGUGCAAAAUAAACUUCAGUAUUUUGAUACCUUUUGGGCCUUUAAGGGAGUAAUACAUAAAGUAAGCUACAAGUCAAAGAAAUUGUGAAAACUCUCUUUAGGAAUAAAUGUGGUAGUUAUAGUUCUUGAAGUGUUCUAACCAAAGAGCCAACAAUCAUCCCUAAUCUCUGAUAGAGAAAGCAGCUCCCAGAGGGAAGCUUAUGUGUGCCACUGCAGCCUGACCCAGAGCCAGGGCUCUACCUGAGCUUCGGUUCCCACGACACCUUAAUGCGCUUUCCUGUUUUCCCACCUCCAAGCCAGUGAUCACUCCCUUCUUUCUGCCUAUACUUCCUGUCCUAAUUGCAUUAAGUUAGUUAUCUGUGAAGUAUACCUGAAAAUAUCAAGAACACCUUAAGCUCAUCUGAAGCACCUAGCAUAUGGGGGUAGUCAUGUAUUUAUUUUAUAUUUUCCCAAUUUAUGACUUACUUAUUUAAUUCUUUAUCAUUUCUCAUGGAAUGCAUAGAUUGGCCAUUACAUUUACUCAGUUUUGUGUGUAUUUGGGAUAAUGCAGUUGACAUUUUUUUCUUCCAUUGUCUUAGGAAGUCAAUGAUACCAUUGAAGAGAACCAAAAAGAAGACAAGACUGAGGACUGUAGCAGGAAUUGCUAAAAGGAAGGAAAUAGAGUAUAAAUGAGAAAUGGGGCUUUUAUGAAGUAAUUUUAGAAUAACUAUACCUUUGUGAAGUGUGCCACUUUACCACCUUAUUUACCAAAGCUUGGAGGAUAUGGAGUUUUUUGGUGAUCUAAUCUCCAAGUAAAUAAGGAACAAAUAAAAAGAAAUUAUGUCUUUCUUUCUAAAAUAUGUUGUCAGCAACUGAAUUUAAUGCAACCAAUAGAUGCAGAUUCUUGCAGCACAGUGUGAUUUUGAUAAGCUCCAACUAAGUAUCAAGUCAGAAAUGGACAUCACAUGCUAUGAAGUUAUCCAUUCUAAACAAAUGAAUUUAAGAUAAUUGGCUUCUAAAUAUUUUUAGGUAUCUCAGAAGGUAGAGUUGUGGGAAGAACAAUGCAGUAAUUGAAUGGAUUCUGAAGAAUAUGAUAGUAGAAAAAUAAUAUGGAAUGUAAGGACAUAAGAUCCCAUUGUUUAUAAAAUAGAUUUAGAUACAGAGGAGAUCAUGGUGUGGAAAACCUUCAGAACCACUGCAUAAUAAAAAAUCCUCACAGCCAAAUUUUAAGCGAUUUUUUUUGUUAUAAAGAGAGUUGACUUAAUAAAUUCCUGCUGAGAAUUUGAUUUAUUCAAUUAAACAUCCAUAUUCAUUUUGAGAGAAAAGAUGAUGCCCACAGGUUCACCCUACAUUGGCAAAUAUGUAUUAUGAAUAGGUAAGGACAGAAGUGCCAAUAAGGAGCAGGAGACCAUUUUUAUCAUCAGCAUCCAGAGUCAUGCCUAUCAGCAGAGUCACCUGGGUAGUCAUGCUCUGACCUUUGCAAGUCCCAGGAAAACUCAAGUCUUUCUUAUGCCACUCUGCUUUGUAGUUGAAACAUAUUAAAUAAAUUUACCAAACAUAUUUCCUAGUUUUUGUUCCCAAACUGACAUCAAAUUCCUGGGCUCAAGUGAUUCUCUUGCUUCAGUCUCCUGAGUAGCUGAAACAACAGGUGUGUGCCAUUCUGCUCUGGAUCCUACAAAGCAGAUUUUCAAUACGCCUUUAUAUUAUUCAGUGUUCUUGAAUUUCUGAGAUGAUAAAUUAGGGCUAAUUUGUUAAGAGUAGAAAGUCAUACCCACAGUAUCAUCUGGUUGAGCUGGACUUGGAGCAUAUACCAAUAGAGAGGAUAUACCUAGAAACUUGACUGGUUAUUUGAAAUAAUAAACAUAGUUUCAUUAGUAAAUGUAAUUUUUUUGGCUUGGGAGAUGAGUAAUAAUUAGUGAGAAAGUAAAUAUCAAAUAUUCAUUUAUAUUCCUCAGGAAGGCAGAAUAUUAAAAUUUUUUCCAAGUCUGGACUUAAUUGAACAGCUGUGCCAACCUUAAUUUAGCAUCACUUGGGGACUACCAAAAAUAAUAGUGUGGAAGAAUAUUUUAAGGUUUUGAUUUUGUGGCAGAAGAAAAAUAUUCUCAUUACUAAUGGUAUGGAAAAUGUAGAAACUUAGAGUGAAGUAAAUAACUACCCACUAUUUAAUCUCCAGAGAUGAUCAUUGACAACAAUUUACUAUAUUUUCUUCCAGCUUUAUUGCUUACAUAAUUAAAUAUAGGUAUUUAUGUCUUAAAUAUAUGUGAAAUAAUUUUUUGUGUGAUUACAAAAUAAAUUCAAGUUCAAUUUUUGAGAAGCGUAAGGAAACUAUGAGAAAUGCAUAGAACAUUAGAUUUCUAGAAAACAGUAGAAACAUUUGAAGCUACUGACAAUUGAGCUUCAUAAAUGAGUAAGAACAUCAGCUCCAGCCGUAAAUUAAUUGGAUUCCUUUGAAUGUGUGUUACAUGUGUAUCCCACAACUAACUCUGGAGUCAUCUUUUAAAGAGAGGCCUCAGAUAUAUUCUGAGUGGGAGCAGCAUUCUAAUAGGUGGUUGGUGUGAAAUAGGCAUCAUCAAUGACUUGCAUGUCUGCUCUGGGCCACUGUUCUUGGCUCUGGAAAGCCAAUGCAAUGAGAAACCUAUCACCAAGCUUUUGGCUCUUCUUGUUGGAAGAAGACUGUUCACCCUAAACAAAAAACUCAGACCUCAGUGGGCUUUUCUUUCUGCUGUGGAUUCCAUGGAGAUAUUCUGGGUCUAGUGAAUCACAGUCCCACCUCUUGGAUUUUCAUUCUCUCUGACUCAUUUCUGCACAAUAGUUUGCCUCUUUUCCUAUCAUGGAAAUCACUUAGGAGAGACAUCCAUAUUUUGUUGGGUUUAAACCUGCUUAGGAAAGAAAAGUUAAUCAGCAAACAGAUUUCUUUGGUGUGUUCCAUAUAAUUUUAGGAGGACUCCUGUUGGCUACUUUUAUCUGUAACUCCUGUUACAGAGAAGGCUGAAAGUAAGCCUCCAGAUGAGUGAGAUAGCAGACCAUUUUCCCAUGAUACAGCCCCACAAUUUGUGAGACAAAAUUAAUGACAAUCAUCCACAGGAGAUAAGACAAAGACAGACUUAAUGUAAAGCAUUUUAGAAGGUUUCAGGUCUUCAUGGAAUGUUGGGGAGCAGGAGGGAGAGACAAUGCAGCCCUAUAUAAUGAAUACAUUAGAUAAUUUAAAUUUUCAAUUAUCAUUAUUUGGAUUUUAUUCCCCAACUUGGGGAUACAUAUUUAGGGGUGGUGUGAAUAUUAGGUAGAGUGGAAAUCAUUGAACCCUUAGUUGAAAGCUACCCCAGUUUCUGGCUUGCCCUCUAAUUAUACAUGUAGAAAAGAUCACUACCAGCAGUGCUAGCAAUAAGGACAGAGAUGUUUGAGACAAAAUUAAGAGGGUAGCCCAGAAAUUGGAGCAGUCCUAAGUUGAAUCUUCAAAAUGAUUAAGUUCUAGAAAAUAUGAAUUCUGAGACGUUAGGGCUUUUGGGUCAUGUUAAUGAUGGGAGUCAAAUAUGUGAAAGAUUGUUAUUGGGAGGAUGCUGACCAUUUUCUCUCAACUAUACUGGGGAUAGAAAUAGAUAUAGAUAUAAAAUAGCAGUGUAUGGAAUUUAGAUUAGAUAAAGAAAGUAUGUUCUGAUAAUCACACUUGUUAAAUGUUAGAAUAUAUAUCCCAAGUAGGUUGUCAAAUCAUUCCACUGAAAUUAUUUUAAUCAUUUGUAUUUAGAUAUAUCAGGAUAAUGAACACACACAUAUAAAUAUUAGGAAAUAUAUAUUUAUGUGUAUGUUUACAUGUGCAUACAUGCACACACACAAGCUAAAAGAUAGACUGUUGACCUCAAUAGCCUUACUAAGAGUGUUCUUUUAUUAUUUUGGAACUCACAAUCAAGUGCCUUUUAGAUACUGUUGUAGAAGGCUUAAGAAUGUGAACAAUAGCCUGAAGCACUGGACGGUAUUAGUCACAAGUUUUACCCUAUGUCAAUACAGAAGGGGUUGAAGUUUGGCAGAAGAAAAGAUAAUAGGCAGUGUUAAACCUUCUUUCUUUAUUUUCCAAAUUAGGACAGUUUGGAAGUUCACCAUUUCCAAUUUUUUUUUCUUUUGUUGACUGCAAAGAACGUCAAGCCAACAGCAUGUUGCUGAGAGCAGCGAUGCAUUUCACCACACUGACAACUGUCGGCUGGGCUUUUUGAGACUCCCAGGAUUCUGAACUGUCUUCUCUUGUAUAGGCCAAAAAGAAGUGGAGCAACAUUUUCAAAGUACUGAAAAAUAACAACUGUCAAGCAAAAUAUUACAUCCAACAAAAAUCUCCUUCAGGAAUUAAGGCAAAAUAAAGAUGUUCUCAGAUUUAAAACAAAACAAAACAAACCUGAGACUGUUCUAAAAGAAUUGUUGAAGAAAUUCUUCUGACAUAAGGAACUAAACCAAAGAACAAGUUCCAUGAUAGAAAAACAGAAAUGGUAACUAUCUGAAAAAUUACAAUUAGUAUUAUUCCUCUUUUUAGUACUUUAAAAUUCAUGACAUUCAAAAAUAAAAAUCAUGGAAUUAUCUGAUGCAAGUUUCAUGGAACAUGGGGAUGUAAUUCAUAUGUCCAUUAUAGAUAAUGGAGGAAUGAGAAAGGAACCUACAUGUUUGAUGAUAGGGAAGAUUUCUACAUUCCCUGAAAAGAAAGGAUUUUAAUUCUAAAUAUAAUAUGAAAAUUAAGCACCCCCUGGAGCAACUAGCAAAUAUGUUUUAUAUGUAUACAGAGAUACAUUCAAAAACACAAUAAGUGAAUUUAAAUGUAAUACUAAAACAGCAUCCAUUAAUACAGAGUGUCUCAGAAAAAUCAAAACAGAGGAACAAAAAUCAGAAAGAAUAGAAGCAAAUAAUGGAAUGACAAAUUAAACCUAAACAUAUUAAUGAUUACAUUAAAUGUAAAUGGUCUAAAACAGCAAUUGAGAGACUGUCAAACAUCAGGCGAAUAUAUCUAAUACAACAAUCUGCUAGGCACAAGAAACUCACUUUGAAAUAAUGAUGUGUUUAUUAAGCAAAAGAAAAUUUGGGUUGCUACAUCUGUAUUAGAAUAAGUAGUUUUUAGAAUAAAGAAGAUAAGCAAUGUUAAAGGAACAAUUUACUUAGAAGACAUAACAAUAUUAAGUAGAUCUAUAACAGAGCUUCAGAUAUAUAAAAGCUGACAGAACUGAAAGAAGAAAGUUGUAUUCAUAAUUGGAAUUGAAAUAUUCAGUAGUAUUCUCUGAUGAUUUGACAGACCUAGAAAACAUAAAAUUUUUACGAUGGAGAAGAACUGAAGAAAAAAAUCAACCAAGUGAAUAUAAUUGACAUUUUUGAACAUUCUGUUCCCAAAUAAUAAAAUACACAUUCUUUUUAAUUGCACAUGGAACGUUCAUCAGUAGACAUCAUUCUAAUUCAUAAAACAAGUUUCAUAGAGUUGAAAUCACACAAAGUCUGUUCUUCAUUCAUAAUGGUAUUAAAUUGUGAAUUAGUGACAUAAAAUGCCAGGGAAAAGUUUCUAAACACAGUUUCAAAUUCAACAACGCACUUCUAAAUACUCUAUGGUCAAAGAAGAUGUAUCAAAGAAAAUAAAUGAUUUUGAACUAACAAAAAUGAAAAUAUAACAUAUCAAAUUUGUGUAAUCCUUACAAAGAAAUACUUAGAGAAAACAUACUAUGUAAUAAAUCAACUCCUCAAGUCAGUAAUCUAUAUCCACUUUAAGAACUUAAAGAGCAAGAACCCCAAAACACAAAGUAAUCAGAAGAAAAAAUAAGCUAGAGUAGAAAUCAGUAAAAUUGAAAACAAAAAAAAAAAAAAUAGAGAAAAAAAUAACAAAACCAAAAGCUGGUUCUUGGAGUAGAUCAACAAAAUUGAUAA